ensembl:snoRNA small nucleolar RNA SNORA35
UUGCACUGUCAAGUGCCAGGACUGCUUUUCCCCUGGCAGUCCUGUCUCAUUCCAGUGCUAGAAUGACCUCCGCCACAGGCAGAAGGGCUGGUCUCAUCAGUGGCCUGACCCUUUCGUUGGCAGAGAACACAC